rnacentral:tRNA from 1 species
GGUGUGGCUCAGUAGUAGAGUGCUUGCCUCACAUGUGUGAGGCACUGGGUUCAAUUCUCAGCACCA